UACGUAGGGUGCAAGCGUUGUCCGGAAUUAUUGGGCGUAAAGGGCUCGUAGGCGGUCCAUCGCGUCGGGCGUGAAAAGCUGGGGCUCAACCCCAGUCCUGCUUCCGAUACGGGUGGACUAGAGGUAGGCAGGGGAGAACGGAAUUCCUGGUGUAGCGGUGAAAUGCGCAGAUAUCAGGAGGAACACCGGUGGCGAAGGCGGAUCUCUGGGCCAUUACUGACGCUGAGGAGCGAAAGCGUGGGGAGCGAACAGG
rnacentral:rRNA from 1 species